rnacentral:rRNA from 1 species
UGGGGAAUUUUGGACAAUGGGCGAAAGCCUGAUCCAGCAAUGCCGCGUGUGUGAAGAAGGCCUUCGGGUUGUAAAGCACUUUUGUCCGGAAAGAAAUCCUUGGCUCUAAUACAGUCGGGGGAUGACGGUACCGGAAGAAUAAGCACCGGCUAACUACGUGCCAGCAGCCGCGGUAAUACGUAGGGUGCAAGCGUUAAUCGGAAUUACUGGGCGUAAAGCGUGCGCAGGCGGUUUGCUAAGACCGAUGUGAAAUCCCCGGGCUCAACCUGGGAACUGCAUUGGUGACUGGCAGGCUAGAGUAUGGCAGAGGGGGGUAGAAUUCCACGUGUAGCAGUGAAAUGCGUAGAGAUGUGGAGGAAUACCGAUGGCGAAGGCAGCCCCCUGGGCCAAUACUGACGCUCAUGCACGAAAGCGUGGGGAGCAAACAGGAUUAGAUACCCUGGUAGUCCACGCCCUAAACGAUGUCAACUAGUUGUUGGGGAUUCAUUUCCUUAGUAACGUAGCUAACGCGUGAAGUUGACCGCCUGGGGAGUACGGUCGCAAGAUUAAAACUCAAAGGAAUUGACGGGGGUCAUAGCUGUUUCCU